rnacentral:rRNA from 1 species
UGGGGAAUAUUGCACAAUGGGGGAAACCCUGAUGCAGCGACGCCGCGUGAGCGAUGAAGGCUUUCGAGUCGUAAAGCUCUGUCCUAUGGGAAGAUAAUGACGGUACCAUAGGAGGAAGCCCCGGCUAACUACGUGCCAGCAGCCGCGGUAAUACGUAGGGGGCGAGCGUUGUCCGGAAUUACUGGGCGUAAAGGGUUCGCAGGCGGCAUGGCAAGUCCGAUGUAAAAGGCGAAGGCUCAACCUUCGUAAGCAUCGGAAACUGUCAAGCUUGAGUGAAGGAGAGGCAAGUGGAAUUCCUAGUGUAGCGGUGGAAUGCGUAGAUAUUAGGAGGAAUACCGGUGGCGAAGGCGACUUGCUGGACUUCAACUGACGCUGAGGAACGAAAGCGUGGGUAGCAAACAGG